GUAGGUGAACCUGCGGAAGGAUCAUUAACACAAUACUUUCAUAUCAACCUAGUUGCACUGUCUGAACCUUAGCUUGCAUGCGCUGGAUUGACAAUGGUUGGAUCUUCGGAUUCGGUCUUUUCAGCUAAUCACCCUUGAGGUAAUAGCAUGACUCUCUUCGGUAUUACAGCCUCAAUCAUGGCUGGCCCUUUUUUUUAAAACUACUUGAAAUUUGUACUGAUUUGGGCUUCGGAUCGAGAGGAGCAAUCCUUUCUCUAAGCUUUUGAUGGAGCAAUCCAUUCAAAUAACCAAAACACAACUCUUAACAGCGGAUAUCUCGGUUCUC
rnacentral:misc_RNA from 1 species